CUCGUAGGCGGUUCGUCGCGUCCGGUGUGAAAGUCCGUCGCUUAACGGUGGAUCCGCGCCGGGUACGGGCGGGCUUGAGUGCGGUAGGGGAGACUGGAAUUCCCGGUGUAACGGUGGAAUGUGUAGAUAUCGGGAAGAACACCAAUGGCGAAGGCAGGUCUCUGGGCCGUUACUGACGCUGAGGAGCGAAAGCGUGGGGAGCAAACA
rnacentral:rRNA from 1 species